AACGAACGCUGGCGGCAUGCCUAACACAUGCAAGUCGAACGAGACCUUCGGGUCUAGUGGCGCACGGGUGCGUAACGCGUGGGAACCUGCCCUUAGGUUCGGAAUAACUCCCCGACAGGGGUGCUAAUACCGGAUAAUGUCUUCGGACCAAAGAUUUAUCGCCUUUGGAUGGGCACGCGUUGGUUUAGCUAGUUGGUAGGGUAAAAGCCUACCACGGCGACGCUCCAUAGCUGGUCUGAGAGGAUGAUCAGCCACACUGAGACUGAGACGCGGCCCAGACUCCUACGGGAGGCAGCAGUGGGGAAUAUUGGACAAUGGGCGAAAGCCUGAUCCAGCAAUGCCGCGUGAGUGAUGAAGGCCUUAGGGUUAUAAAGCUCUUUUACCCGGGAUGAUAAUGACAGUACCGGGAGAAUAAGCUCCGGCUAACUCCGUG
rnacentral:rRNA from 1 species